GGCGGCAGGCCUAACACAUGCAAGUCGAGCGGAAACGACACUAACAAUCCUUCGGGUGCGUUAAUGGGCGUCGAGCGGCGGACGGGUGAGUAAUGCCUAGGAAAUUGCCUUGAUGUGGGGGAUAACCAUUGGAAACGAUGGCUAAUACCGCAUAAUGCCUACGGGCCAAAGAGGGGGACCUUCGGGCCUCUCGCGUCAAGAUAUGCCUAGGUGGGAUUAGCUAGUUGGUGAGGUAAUGGCUCACCAAGGCGACGAUCCCUAGCUGGUCUGAGAGGAUGAUCAGCCACACUGGAACUGAGACACGGUCCAGACUCCUACGGGAGGCAGCAGUGGGGAAUAUUGCACAAUGGGCGAAAGCCUGAUGCAGCCAUGCCGCGUGUAUGAAGAAGGCCUUCGGGUUGUAAAGUACUUUCAGUUGUGAGGAAGGGGGUAGCGUUAAUAGCGCUAUCUCUUGACGUUAGCAACAGAAGAAGCACCGGCUAACUCCGUGCCAGCAGCCGCGGUAAUACGGAGGGUGCGAGCGUUAAUCGGAAUUACUGGGCGUAAAGCGCAUGCAGGUGGUUCAUUAAGUCAGAUGUGAAAGCCCGGGGCUCAACCUCGGAACUGCAUUUGAAACUGGUGAACUAGAGUACUGUAGAGGGGGGUAGAAUUUCAGGUGUAGCGGUGAAAUGCGUAGAGAUCUGAAGGAAUACCAGUGGCGAAGGCGGCCCCCUGGACAGAUACUGACACUCAGAUGCGAAAGCGUGGGGAGCAAACAG
rnacentral:rRNA from 1 species